AUGACGCCCAUCUGCUGUGUAAAAAGAGGCACCCUUGGGUGCAGGCAUGUAAGGACUAGUGGCACACUAAGGGUUAGGGAUGCAGUGGGAGCAGUCCAUCUCUCUCUUUCCACAUGGAAACUGCCAGGGUUUCCAAUCAGUAUAAGGAGGCCACGGACUGAUUUGGGAGACACAUGGAGCACGGGAUUUGAAAGCUGCCAACUAUCAGAAAAGUGGACCAGGAGGAUUCGAUCCUGGAAUGGAGACAGGUGUGAGGAAAAAGAGGAGGCAAGGUUGGUUACUAGGUUUGCCUCCUGA
rnacentral:lncRNA from 1 species